UAGAGUUUGAUCCUGGCUCAGGAUGAACGCUAGCGACAGGCUUAACACAUGCAAGUCGAGGGGCAGCGGUGGUGAAGGCUUGCCUUCACCAGCCGGCGACCGGCGCACGGGUGAGUAACACGUAUGCAACCUGCCUGCCACAGCCGGAUAAUCGGGAGAAAUUCCGUCUAAUACGGCAUAAUGCAUCGACGGGACAUCCUGUUGGUGCCAAAGGUUAAUUCCGGUGGCGGAUGGGCAUGCGUCGCAUUAGUUAGUUGGCGGUGUAACGGACCACCAAGACGACGAUGCGUAGGGGUUCUGAGAGGAAGGUCCCCCACACUGGUACUGAGACACGGACCAGACUCCUACGGGAGGCAGCAGUGAGGAAUAUUGGUCAAUGGGCGGGAGCCUGAACCAGCCAAGUCGCGUGAGGGAUGACGGCCCUAUGGGUUGUAAACCUCUUUUGCCGGGGAGCAAAGUGCCGCACGUGUGCGGUUUGGAGAGUACCCGGAGAAAAAGCAUCGGCUAACUCCGUGCCAGCAGCCGCGGUAAUACGGAGGAUGCGAGCGUUAUCCGGAUUUAUUGGGUUUAAAGGGUGCGUAGGCGGACGCUUAAGUCAGCGGUAAAAUUGCGGGGCUCAACCUCGUCGAGCCGUUGAAACUGGGUGCCUUGAGUGGGCGAGAAGUACGCGGAAUGCGUGGUGUAGCGGUGAAAUGCAUAGAUAUCACGCAGAACUCCGAUUGCGAAGGCAGCGUACCGGCGCCCAACUGACGCUGAAGCACGAAGGCGUGGGUAUCGAACAGGAUUAGAUACCCUGGUAGUCCACGCAGUAAACGAUGAAUGCUAGUUGUCCGGGGCGAUUGAGUUCUGGGU
rnacentral:rRNA from 1 species